GGGGGCUGUGUAUGUGUAUGUGUGGGGCGCUGCUUGUGUCCCCCCCCCAGCCCCACUCAGCACCUGGAAAGCCGCUGCAGAACUUUCUGGAAGCCCCCGCACGCUGAAUGUGCUGCCCCCAUAGUGCUGGGCACGCAGGUAUUGUUACACUUCUGUGUCUCAGGCUGUAUUUUGUGCGUUCACAUACAAGCUUUGUGUGAUGUGUUUCCCUGGGGAGCUGCACCUAGGCUCAGGACAGCCAGAAGAUCUGGAUCGGGUACAAAGCAGGCACAGCAAACUAGUGUGCCAAGGGAUGCUGGGUUCCAAAAAUGGACAGCUUGGGCAGCAACAUCACUCACUUUCCCAUACCUGAGCACCCAUUUUGGACACAGAAUGAAAGGAGCAUAUUCAGCCUUUAUGACGCUGAGACCAUUAACAGUGUUGCUAUUUGAGGGAGGAAGGACAACAGACAUUCCAGCUUUCUCUUGGAGUGACCAUUCCCAAAAGCAACAGGACAGAAGUGAUUCCAGACCACUUUUUCUGCUGACGUCAGUUACUGUCUGCUAG
rnacentral:lncRNA from 1 species